rnacentral:tRNA from 1 species
CCGGCUGAUGGCGGAGGUGACCGAGCAGGCCGUUCCCCUGCUGGCCGACGCGUCGGCCACCGUCCGCUCCGCCCAGACCCAGCUCGACC